CAUAAUCAAUAGUUUUUUAAUUGGGAACUUGUAUGAAUGGUUGGACAAAAGAAUCUCUGUCUUUGUUAUAAAAUUGAAUUUGACUUUUAAGUGAAAAGGCUUAAAUUAUUUAAGGGGACGAUAAGACCCUAUAAAGCUUUAUAAUAAGGCAUGGUUUAUUGUGAAUAGAUAAAAAUAUGGUAUGUCUUUUUAUUUUGUUGGGGCGACAAUUAUAUAAUUAAAAGUAACUGUUAAAAAAUAAAACAUUAAUAAAUGUGGAAAAUGAUCCUAUAUUUAGAUUAAAAGACAAAGUUACUUUAGGGAUAACAGCGUAAUUUUUUUUUGGAGUUCUUAUCUAGAAAGAAGUUUGCGACCUCGAUGUUGAAUUAAAAGUAUCUUAACAGUGCAGCUGUUGUUAAAG
rnacentral:rRNA from 1 species